rnacentral:misc_RNA from 1 species
AUUUCAUCAAACAUUCUUAUUUAUCUGUAAUUAUGUAUUGUUAUAGAUAAUCCUGAAAACGUACCAAUUGACAAAGUGGAAUUGGAAACAACCGCAAACAUACAUUUGGAUUUAUCACAAGACAAAUAUGUAGAAGACUUUGCAUCAGAUGUUGAUAACGUAUGCCCAGAGUCCGAGCAGGUGAUGAAGGAAAAUAUUCCUAACUAUAUUGGUAAGCAAAAAAAUUUUCUUUUAAACUUAAUGAUUUUCUGAUCAAGUAUAUAAUUUAAUAAUUAAUAAUGUGUUUCAGAAUUACGAAGUUCUAGUGGAUUUGACACAUCCACUCCAAAAGCUAUGCUGCGAAAACCUGUGUCAAAAGAGUUGUCAUUCAUUCAAAAGAAUAAAAAGACUGCUUUUACUCCUUUGGAGACCAGAAAGCGAAUAAUAAUACACACAGAAAAAAAAAUUGAUUUAUUAAAUAAAAAGCAGGGUAGGGAACUGGAUUUAGCCCGAUAUGCCAAAGAAGAACACGAGCUUAACAUGAAACAUAAACAAGAACUACAUGA